rnacentral:rRNA from 1 species
GAUGAACGCUGGCGGCGUGCCUAAUACAUGCAAGUCGAGCGAACGGACGAGAAGCUUGCUUUUCUGAUGUUAGCGGCGGACGGGUGAGUAACACGUGGAUAACCUACCUAUAAGACUGGGAUAACUUCGGGAAACCGGAGCUAAUACCGGAUAAUAUUUUGAACCGCAUGGUUCAAAAGUGAAAGACGGUCUUGCUAUCACUUAUAGAUGGAUCCGCGCUGCAUUAGCUAGUUGGUAAGGUAACGGCUUACCAAGGCAACGAUGCAUAGCCGACCUGAGAGGGUGAUCGGCCACACUGGAACUGAGACACGGUCCAGACUCCUACGGGAGGCAGCAGUAGGGAAUCUUCCGCAAUGGGCGAAAGCCUGACGGAGCAACGCCUCGUGAGUGAUGAAGGUCUUCGGAUCGUAAAACUCUGUUAUUAGGGAAGAACAUAUGUGUAAGUAACUGUGCACAUCUUGACGGUACCUAAUCAGAAAGCCACGGCUAACUACGUG